rnacentral:rRNA from 1 species
GAUGAACGCUGGCGGCGUGCCUAAUACAUGCAAGUCGAGCGAAUGGAUUAAGAGCUUGCUCUUAUGAAGUUAGCGGCGGACGGGUGAAUAACACGUGGGUAACCUGCCCAUAAGACUGGGAUAACUCCGGGAAACCGGGGCUAAUACCGGAUAACAUUUUGAACCGCAUGGUUCGAAAUUGAAAGGCGGCUUCGGCUGUCACUUCUGGAUGGACCCGCGUCGCAUUAGCUAGUUGGUGAGGUAACGGCUCACCAAGGCAACGAUGCGUAGCCGACCUGAGAGGGUGAUCGGCCACACUGGGACUGAGACACGGCCCAGACUCCUACGGGAGGCAGCAGUAGGGAAUCUUCCGCAAUGGACGAAAGUCUGACGGAGCAACGCCGCGUGAGUGAUGAAGGCUUUCGGGUCGUAAAACUCUGUUGUUAGGGAAGAUCAAGUGCUAGUUGAAUAAGCUGGCACCUUGACGGUACCUAACCAGAAAGCCACGGCUAACUACGUGCCAGCAGCCGCCGUAA